rnacentral:misc_RNA from 1 species
UGAAGCAAUCAAAAUGGCGAUCAUAGUCAAAGGAAAAGUGAUCGUAUUUAGAAUAACAAUAAUGCUCUAUAAUGUCAUCCUGAUACAUUGUGGCAUUGUAGAAGUCAAUCUCGGAGGCACCUGGAUUGUUUCGAAUGCAAAUAACAGUAUUUCUGUGCCCGGAAUUGUUCCCGGAAAUGUUCACACAGCUUUGUACAGGAAUGGACAAAUUUCGGAUCCGUACUUCCGGUUUAAUGAUGUUAAGUAUCGCUGGAUAGCGUAUGAUAAUUGGACGUACACAAGGUCGUUGGAAGUUUCUGAAGAUGUCACAUCAAAAGGGAACAUUCUGUUGGUUUUCGAGGGCCUGGACACAGUUGCUGCAGUUCUGGUUAAUAAUAUUGAAGUUGGCCACUCAACAAACAUGUUCCACAGAUACAUCUUCAAUAUUAAGGAGGCUCUAAAAACUGGUUUGAACAAGAUUGAAGUGCGCUUCACUUCUGCAGUGCUCUAUGCUAAAGGGCAAGCCAAAGUGUAUCCAUAUCGUGUACCCCCUGAAUGUCCAGUCCCAGUUCAGCGUGGUGAGUGCCAUGGAAACUUUAUCAGAAAAGAACAGUGUUCAUUUAGUUGGGACUGGGGACCAGCCUUUGUUCCUCAAGGGAUUUGGAGAAAUGUAUCUCUGCAAGCUUACAACUCAGCUGUUAUAAGGGACAUCACAGUAACACCUAAAAAAGGUUCAACUAAUAUCACGUGGGAGUUGUCCAUGACACUUUUUAUGGAUUCUGCUGAGGAUGGUGUGACAGGUACAAUAAUCUUCAGCCUUCCUCAGCUGUCACGCUCUCAGAAGCUGGUCAUCAAACUGUCACAUGGUAUCCAUAAAAUUUCUUUCCCAGAGAUGCUGUUUACAGAAAAAGAUGACAUUAAGCCUUGGUGGCCUCAAGGAUAUGGCAAACCAAAUCUCUACACAGUUAAGGUUGUGUUUUUGAGCUCCUCUGGUGAUGAACAAUCAAGUAUUAGUCGUAACAUUGGUUUCAGGAAAGUGAAACUUGUACAGGAACCAAUUGCUUGUGCUCCAGGACGGGGAUUUCACUUUGAGAUCAAUGAUUUACCAAUAUUUCUUAAAGGAGCAAACUGGAUUCCUGCAGAUGCCUUUGAGGACCGUGUGACGAGCUCAGUUCUUUGGAAUCUUCUCAAGUCUGCAGCUGAUGCGAACAUGAACGUCGUGAGGAACUGGGGAGGAGGAGUCUAUCAAAAAGAUGAAUUUUACGACAUAGCGGACGAAUUAGGAUUACUUAUAUGGGAAGAAUUUAUGUUUGCCUGUGCUAUGUACCCGGUUGAUAAAGAUUUCUUGAAGUCAGUCAAAGAAGAAGUACAAUAUCAGGUGCGUCGGCUUCAGCACCAUCCGUCCGUUAUACUAUGGAGUGGUAACAAUGAAAAUGAAGCAGCUCUGGCCGACAACUGGUACAACACCAGCUCCUCGUUCACGAGGUACUCCAAUGAUUAUAGGAAGUUGUAUAUAGAUACUAUUAUGGAGACGCUGGAAAACGAAGACAAGAGCCGACCUUUUCUCUCAUCGUCUCCUUCGAAUGGAGUAGAUACCGAGAAGGAGGGAUGGGUGGCGAAGAAUCCAGGGAGCCCCUAUUGGGGAGAUGUGCACUUCUACGACUACGAGAUGGACUGUUGGAAUGUCAGCGGCUACCCUAAGCCCCGUUUUGCAUCUGAGUAUGGUUUCCAGUCCUACCCGUCUUUUGAGACUCUAGCGCAGGUGUCAGUGGAAGAGGACUGGGCCUACAAUAGUUCGUUCAUGGAUCAUAGGCAACAUCAUGCAGACGGUAAUGAGCAGAUGUUGAGCCAAGCUAAGAAGCAUUAUAAACUUCCCAACUCAACAGAGCCUUUGAAAAGAUUUUUGGACACUCUUUUUAUUAUCCAGGUGGCUCAAGCUCAGUGCAUGAAGACAGAGACUGAACAUUACAGACGUUUACAGAGUGAAUUAGUGAAGGGUGAAGGAAGAACAAUGGGCACAAUAUAUUGGCAGUUGAACAGUAUUUGGCAGGCUCCCACUUGGUCAUCUCUGGAAUAUGGAGGUCGUUGGAAGAUGCUUCAUUACUUUGUGAAAGAUUUCUUUGCGCCAGUUAUGGCGUCGCCAUACCAGGAGGGUGGCAAGUUCAGGCUCUAUGUAGUAUCCGACCUUAUGAAGCCAAUCUCGCAAGGUGCUGUGUCUCUGAAGGCGUGGUCAUGGUCUUCCUUCACACCACUGUACGUCAAAGAGGUCGCAUUUAACAUUGAUCAACAAACUUCGAAAUUGGUUUAUGAAGAUAAAGUGGAUACUCUCUUACACUCCAGCAAAUGUAAAAGUGCUCGACAUUGCGUCUUUACUGUGAAACCUAUGGACGCAAGCACAGGCGAAGAUCUGGGACCGACAAACGUCUUUUAUCCGACGAGUCUGUCGGAAGCACUGGGUAUGAGCGAUCCAAGAUUGAAGAUCGUAAAAGUUGCGCGAACGCCCAAAAAAGGAGAGUAUAGUGUGUAUAUUGAGGCCCAGUCUCCCGCUUGUUAUGUGUGGCUUGUAGCCGAAGAUGUCCGUGGACGCUUCUCAAAUAACGGUUUUCUUCUGAUCGAACCUUCCAAGACGGUGAUAUUCUACAGUUGGCAAGACACCACUGAAGACGAACUAGAGAAAAGUCUUUACAUCACGUCUCUUUAUGAUUUAUAUGCUUAGAUAAUUUAGUUAUAUAAUUUUGCCAUCCCUGACAUAGAUGUUAUUAAUUAGAUCUAGAAAGUCGGUGAGUUUUCAACUCGUCGUCCUUUGUGAAAACUCAAUUUUGUAAUUUUUCAUUCAAGUAAACAGCUGUCCAUACAACCAGGUAUCGAUAGUUAAAGAAAACAACAGGAUGAAAAUGGAAUUGAACAAAACUUGUAAAAAAAAAGGCGAACACUUGAACUUGCAUCUGCUACAUACUUAAAAAAAAGUCGUCGGAUGUUACGAUAAUUCGUCGUGCGAUUUGCAGAGACUGUGAUACUUUCUUUCCCCUUGAGCGGGAACUUGAAUAGUAAUUGCUUGGCAGUCACUAGUUAUUCUUAAAGUUUAAGCUGUUAGUUCAUCCCAUUUUUCGUGCGGCGUUCGUGCGAGAAAAACCACUCGGAGAACUCGGGCGAAGAGGCACUUUUGGAGCGAAAUCUUUGUGAAACGCGUUGGGGGUUAACGGAAGAUCGACGGCCACGCGGUUUGUGCCUGUUAAGACAGAUCGUUAUUUUUUUAUUUUUUUUAUUUUUAAUUUAAAGGUGCAUUUUAUCGGCUCAAACAACACUUAGCUAAAUGAAUGUAACCAAUUUAAACUCAACCCGCAGAAUUGGAUAACACCAUUGAAUAAAAUUGUACGAAGUGCAUCUAUGUUGCUUAGCAAUCCCUGAAAUAUGGAUUGAAAUUUGAUGUGUUUUGAUUGAAAUUUGUAGAAAAUCGCUAAUGUUACGUGUAGCAGAUAUUUCAUAUGAUUCUCCUUUGUUUCUGAGAAUUUUAGGACUCUGCAAAAGAUUCUAAUAUAAGCAUUAGCAGUACAAGUAUUUUGAACGCACUGAUCGUUUCAAAACAGACUUUCAGUUGUCGAUUUCGUACGUGAAAAAAAAUAUCUAUUAAAUAUUAUACCAUCUCUUUCAGGGAAUGUGUUUGCCAAAUGAACAAAUAUUUCUGACAUCGCUUUCAUUGUUAGUUAAUUAGCAUUUUUUAAUGAAAAGACUUUUAUAUUGUGAGGUUUAUGAUUGCCAAUAAAUGUUUUAGCACUAACAGGA